rnacentral:misc_RNA from 1 species
UUAUGAACCUGUCACCAUCAUAUUCAGAUGUGAUGGGAAUGAAUUUCUGGCAGGUCUUCACAAUGAAAUUGUCAGAUAGAUCAGCAUCUUCUUCUUCUCCAGUGAACAACUUGAAUGAUGAGUAUAGAAGAAUCCCAGCCAACAGUAAGUUAACUGCCUCAAAUCUCUGCAGGGUUGCUGUUCCAAGCAGUAUGAUAGACAACCUGAAGAUUAUGGCACCAGCAAUUCCAUACGAUAGCACCCGGUUCUGAUACAUAAGUGGUACUUUGAAAUAUUUGAAUAUCAGAACGAAUACAAAUAGAUUAUCCACUGACAAACUCUGCUCCAGCAGAUACCCAGCGAAAAAUUCAGAUGACUUGCUGACUCCAUCCGUGAGUCCCACGCCAACACCAAAUGCCACUGCUGAAAACACACACAAGGCUACUGUCUUGACAGAAGACACAUAAGUUCCAGACCCUUGAGUUCUUUCUUCAGCAUUAGACAACUCUUCCCCUUGUUCAGAUUUUCUCAAGCAGGAAACCACCGCACUAUAUCUUCUUCCUCUACAUUUACACCCAACUGAAAUGGGUGGUGGAAAGCGAAGAUGAGCUAAUUGAAAGUGAACCCAUUUGGGGGAUGAAGAAGGCGAAGAGAUUGGGGAA